rnacentral:rRNA from 1 species
GACGAACGCUGGCGGCGUGCCUAAUACAUGCAAGUCGAACGCAGUUGGGACGGGUGAGUAACCCGUGGGUAACCUCCCAUCAGAGGGGAUACCACUUGGAAACAGGUGCUAAACCGAUAUUGAUGGCUGGACCCGCGGUUCAUUAGCUAGUUGGUGAGGUAACGGCUCACCAAGGCGACGAUGCAUAGCCGGCCGGAGAGGGUGAUCGGCAACACUGGGACUGAGAAACGGCCCAGACUCCUACGGGAGGCAGCAGUAGGGAAUCUUGGGCAAUGGACGAAAGUCUGACCGAGCAACGCCGCGUGAGUGAAGAAGGUUUUCGGAUCGUAAAGCGCUGUUGUUAGAGAAGCGUUAUCUAACCAGAAAGCAACGGCUAACUACGUGCCAGCAGCCGCGGUAAUUC